ACGAAAUCUUUGAAUCUAUUAAUCAAGGUGAUAUUUACAAUAAAGAGAGAGCAAAUAAAAUUGAUAAUUCAGCAAUUGCUUCUACUUCAUCUUGUGCUACCGUAAAAGCAACACUGCAACAUAAAUCUUCUCUAGUUGUUGGACAUAGUACUGAAUUUGAAAAACGAGUUUUCAGAGAAUUACACAUCCUUAGCCUAAAAAUAGAUGAUAUUUUAGAAAGUAUAAAUGUUCUAAUGAAAAAUAAAGUAGAUGAAUUACAAAAUCCAUCUACAUAUAACAAAGUUCCUGAUAUUGUGGAACUAUUUCCGGUGAAUGAUGAGUAUUUAGUUCAAUUAGAAAAUUAGCUAACAAGUUCUGAACAAAAUAAGGCAAUGUUGUCUGAAAAUCUAAGUCGCAUCGGAGGAUCUACUGUUAAAGAUAUUGUAAGAAGAAUAAUGUAUCGUAUUUUUACCAAUGAAGUUGGCAUGAAUUAUUCCUGGGAAGGGGCUAAAAAGAAAAAAGCUUUCAAAAAUUUAGCUAUUGAAACUACUA